rnacentral:misc_RNA from 1 species
GAUGAAGAACGUAGCGAAAUGCGAUAAGUAAUGUGAAUUGCAGAAUUCAGUGAAUCAUCGAAUCUUUGAACGCACAUUGCGCCCGCCAGUAUUCUGGCGGGCAUGCCUGUUCGAGCGUCAUUUCAACCAUCAAGCCCCCGGCUUGUGUUGGGGACCUGCGGCUGCCGCAGGCCCUGAAAAGCAGUGGCGGGCUCGCUGUCACACCGAGCGUAGUAGCAUACAUCUCGCUCUGGGCGUGCUGCGGGUUCCGGCCGUUAAACCACCUUCAUAACCCAAGGUUGACCUCGGAUCAGGUAGGAAGACCCGCUGAACUUAAGCAUAUCAAUAAGCGGAGCA